UGGAACCAGAGUCCCGGCUCGACGCGUGCUGCAACUAGCACGGCCAGCGGUGAAGAUGACGAGCUCCGAUAUUGCAACUAGAGAUUUUUAUUGCUGGAACCAGACGGUAGAAAAGCUGCAACCACUUUUGGCGGGUGCUAGAACCGGACGGCGUCGAGUUCGUUUUUGCUGAAACUGGCAAAAAAAUUGCUGGAACCAGCAAGAUUUUUUGCUGGAUGGGCAGGUGAGAGUUCUUGCUAUGACCGGCGGCGGCGAUGUGUUAUUGCCGGAAACAUGGAUAAUUUUUGCUACAACCCGCAUGUGUUUUUGCUACUGCAGGCAAAAUCAAUAGAUUUUUUGCUUUGGCUGAGAUUUUCUUUUUUGCAAGGGAACAUGAUGGUCUAAGCGGACGACGGCGACGAGCGGAGGCGGUGAUGCGUGGAGAUGCUGCAACCACAAUGGGUGUGAGCUGGAACCGGCCGGUGGGUGAGCUGCAGUCACCCACCGGGGACGAGCGUGGUCGACAUGGGUGGUCGGCGAGCAGGAGCGGCAAAACGGCGGGCAUGGGUGGCUUGGGGUCGCCGGCGAGCGUGGGUUGCAAGGGGGACGAACGCGGCGGCCGGCGAACAUGGAGGAUUUCUUUUUUGUUUCCAAAUCACGCGCUUUGACAAGGGGAGGAAGGAAAAGGACCCGGAUCUGACGGUCGUAAUAGGGCAAAUAGGACGAUAGGGCAGCGACCGGCCCAAAAGCACGAAAUAUAUACGGAAUCGCAAUGUCAGGCUAGCCCAACAUGGCACGACGAAGUUGCUUCUGUCCGUUGGAUUAAUCUGAACCUCGCCGGGUCUUUCUCCAGCUAGUUUCCUUAGAAUCUGCUUCAAGCAAUUAAUUGGUCCCGCCUAAUCUGCUUCCUAAAUUAAUUGGUCCCGAAAACCACGGUUAGUUGGAAUGGAACGUUGGUCCAUCUUUUUUUUUUGCGGGGUAACGUUGGUCCAUCUUUGUUUCCAUGUAAUUCUGUUUCUCAAACUAAUCAGACCCACAAAUCAAGCGACGACGUAUUCUUUUAUUUUAUACCAGAUGAAAUUUUGUUUCUUUUCCUAUUAAAGUUAGCUUCCCGUACAUGUUAAAUUUGCUUCGAGCGAAUAAACUUUUAUGUCCA
rnacentral:lncRNA from 1 species